rnacentral:rRNA from 1 species
UACGUAGGGUGCGAGCGUUGUCCGGAAUUAUUGGGCGUAAAGAGCUUGUAGGCGGUUUGUCGCGUCUGCCGUGAAAUCCGGGGCUCAACCCCGGACUUGCGGUGGGUACGGGCAGACUAGAGUGUGGUAGGGGAGACUGGAAUUCCUGGUGUAGCGGUGAAAUGCGCAGAUAUCAGGAGGAACACCGAUGGCGAAGGCAGGUCUCUGGGCCAGCUACUGACGCUGAGAAGCGAAAGCGUGGGAGCGAACGG